UUUAGAGGUAUAUAGAAGCUCUCUCAAACCUGAAAUGGCCGAGGCUCUUAUUUGUGCACAAAACUGGUUGAGGCCUUCAUUAGAUCAGUUCAAAGACUUGGAAUUUACUGAAGAUUAUGAGAUUUCUGAAGAUGCUUUAAAAGGAUUUGCUGAACUUUCACUCGGAAGUGGAGCAUCGUCUUCAUCUCAGACUCAGUCACAGUCUUCUGGCUGUGCCUAAACACUUUUUGAGCUACUUUUUUUGGAGUCAUGGAUGACUCGUUUUUUUGAAGCCGACAUUAACACAACCAACACUUUUUGGAAGAAUGUCAAAAACAGUCCUGCACAACCAACACUUUUUGAAAGAAUAUCAAAAACAUCCCUACACAACCAACACACCUUCGGUAAUUUACGUGUUAUGCUAAUUAUAACCGAAUCAAUUAUUCACUGAAUUAGUUUGGUUUGUAAUUGUGUGGAUUUUGUGUAUGUCAGUGUGAUUGAUGUUGUUG